rnacentral:rRNA from 2 species
UGGGGAAUAUUGGACAAUGGGCGCAAGCCUGAUCCAGCCAUGCCGCGUGAGUGAUGAAGGCCCUAGGGUUGUAAAGCUCUUUCACCGGUGAAGAUAAUGACGGUAACCGGAGAAGAAGCCCCGGCUAACUUCGUGCCAGCAGCCGCGGUAAUACGAAGGGGGCUAGCGUUGUUCGGAUUUACUGGGCGUAAAGCGCACGUAGGCGGACUUUUAAGUCAGGGGUGAAAUCCCGGGGCUCAACCCCGGAACUGCCUUUGAUACUGGAAGUCUUGAGUAUGGUAGAGGUGAGUGGAAUUCCGAGUGUAGAGGUGAAAUUCGUAGAUAUUCGGAGGAACACCAGUGGCGAAGGCGGCUCACUGGCUCGAUACUGACGCUGAGGUGCGAAAGCGUGGGGAGCAAACAGG